GUCCACGCCGUAAACGGUGGGCACUAGGUGUGGGUCACAUUCCACGUGAUCCGUGCCGCAGCUAACGCAUUAAGUGCCCCGCCUGGGGAGUACGGCCGCAAGGCUAAAACUCAAAGGAAUUGACGGGGGCCCGCACAAGCGGCGGAGCAUGCGGAUUAAUUCGAUGCAACGCGAAGAACCUUACCUGGGUUUGACAUAUGCCGGAAAGCUGCAGAGAUGUGGCCUCCCUUUGGGCCGGUUUACAGGUGGUGCAUGGCUGUCGU
rnacentral:rRNA from 1 species